CCGCGUGUAGCCCAAUGCAGAGGCGUUCCGCUCAAGACGGAAAGGUUGCAGGUGCAAGUCCUGCCACGCGGACCA
rnacentral:tRNA from 1 species